AUACGUAGGGGGCGAGCGUUGUCCGGAAUGAUUGGGCGUAAAGGGCGCGUAGGCGGCCCGGUAAGUCUGGAGUGAAAGUCCUGCUUUUAAGGUGGGAAUUGCUCUGGAUACUGUCGGGCUUGAGUGCAGGAGAGGUAAGUGGAAUUCCCAGUGUAGCGGUGAAAUGCGUAGAGAUUGGGAGGAACACCAGUGGCGAAGGCGCCUUACUGGACUGUAACUGACGCUGAGGCGCGAAAGUGUGGGGAGAAAACAGGAUUAUAUACCCUUGUAGUCCACACGGUGAACGAUGAAUGCUAGGUGUAGGGGGUAUAGACCCCUUCUGUGCCGCAGUUAACACAAUAAGCAGUCCGCCUGGGGAGUACGGCCGCAAGGUUGAAACUCUAAUGAAUUGACGGGG
rnacentral:rRNA from 1 species